rnacentral:rRNA from 1 species
CAGAACGAACGCUGGCGGCAGGCUUAACACAUGCAAGUCGAACGCGUGUAGCAAUACACGAGUGGCGCACGGGUGAGUAACGCGUGGAUAUCUGCCUUUUGGUUCGGAAUAACUCCGGGAAACUGGAGCUAAUACCGGAUGGUUCCUACGGGAUAAAGAUUUAUCGCCAAAAGAUGAGUCCGCGUACGAUUAGCUAGUUGGUGAGGUAAUGGCUCACCAAGGCGACGAUCGUUAGCUGGUCUGAGAGGACGAUCAGCCACACUGGGACUGAGACACGGCCCAGACUCCUACGGGAGGCAGCAGUGGGGAAUAUUGGACAAUGGGGGCAACCCUGAUCCAGCCAUGCCGCGUGAGUGAUGAAGGCCUUCGGGUUGUAAAGCUCUUUUGGCGGGGACGAUGAUGACGGUACCCGCAGAAUAAGCCCCGGCUAACUUCGUG